rnacentral:rRNA from 1 species
GAGCCUGGUAUGAUUUAGCUGUAAUUAUAGUAGAACAAGUUGGGAAGCUUGACGAUAGAGGGUGAUAGACCCGUAUACGAAAUAAUCACAGUGGAACUAAGCAUACGAACAAGUAGGACGGGGCCCGUGGAACCUUGUCUGAAUAUGGGGGGACCAUCCUACAAGGCUAAAUACUCAUGAAUGACCGAUAGUGAACUAGUACCGAGAGUGAAAGGUGAAAAGAACCCAU